GCGAGUAUGAUGAAAUUGGUAGCCAUGUGAGAUUUAGAAUCUCAUGAGUAUUCGUGAGGGUUCAAGUCCCUCUACUCGCA
rnacentral:tRNA from 1 species